GUUUUAGCUUAAAACAAGCGAUGGUU
rnacentral:piRNA from 1 species